CCUACGGGAGGCAGCAGUGGGGGAUAUUGCACAAUGGGGGGAACCCUGAUGCAGCGACGCCGCGUGGGUGAAGAAGCGCCUCGGCGCGUAAAGCCCUGUCAGCAGGGAAGAAAAUGACGGUAGCUGAAGAAGAAGCCCCGGCUAACAACGGGCCAGCGUCCGCGGGACUCCGAAGGGGGCAAGCGUUACCCGGAUUUACUGGGUGUAAAGGGGGCGCAGAGGGCGAUGCAAGCCAGGAGUGAAAGCCCGGGGCCCAACCCCGGGACUGCUCUUGGAACGGCGUGGCUGGCGUGCAGGAGGGCCAGGCGGCAUUCCUGGUGUAGCGGUGAAAGGCGUAGAUAUCAGGAGGAACACCGGUGGCGAAGGCGGCCUGCUGGACUGCAACUGACGUUGCGGCCCGAAAGCGUGGGGAGCAAACAGGAUUAGAUACCCCUGUAGUC
rnacentral:rRNA from 1 species